rnacentral:rRNA from 1 species
UACGGAGGGUGCAAGCGUUAUCCGGAUUUACUGGGUUUAAAGGGUGCGUAGGUGGGUUGGUAAGUCAGUGGUGAAAUACUUUCGCUUAACGAAGGAACUGCCAUUGAUACUAUCAAUCUUGAAUACAGUGGAGGCAGGCGGAAUGCGUCAUGUAGCGGUGAAAUGCUUAGAUAUGACGCAGAACACCAAUUGCGAAGGCAGCUUGCUACACUGUUAUUGACACUGAGGCACGAAAGCGUGGGGAGCAAACAGG